GACGAACGCUGGCGGCGUGCCUAACACAUGCAAGUCGAACGGUCCGGCACUCAACCGACCCUCAGUCUAGCUGUAGGUGAAGUUGAGUGCCGGAUAGUGGCGGACGGGUGAGUAACGCGUGGGCAACCAACCCUGUACAGUGGGAUAACACCGGGAAACCGGUGCUAAUACCGCAUGACACCUAGAUGGUGCAUACUGUUUAGGUUAAAGGAUUUAACCGGUACAGGACGGGCCCGCGUCCCAUUAGCUGGUUGGUGAGGUAACGGCUCACCAAGGCGACGAUGGGUAGCCGACCUGAGAGGGUGACCGGCCACACUGGGACUGAGACACGGCCCAGACUCCUACGGGAGGCAGCAGUGGGGAAUAUUGCGCAAUGGACGGAAGUCUGACGCAGCGACGCCGCGUGAGCGACGAAGGCCUUCGGGUCGUAAAGCUCUGUUCUUGGGGACGAAUAAAAUGACGGUACCAAGGAGAAAGCCCCGGACUAACUACGUG
rnacentral:rRNA from 1 species